UACGGAGGGGGCAAGCGUUAUUCGGAAUUAUUGGGCGUAAAGGGCGCGUAGGCGGCUAGAUGUGUCAAAGGUGAAAUCCCUCGGCUCAACUGAGGAACUGCCUUUGAAACUGUCUGGCUUGAGGCCGGGAGAGGGUAGCGGAAUUCCCAGUGUAGCGGUGAAAUGCGUAGAUAUUGGGGGGAACACCAGUGGCGAAGGCGGCUACCUGGACCGGUUCUGACGCUGAGGCGCGAAAGCGUGGGGAGCGAACAGG
rnacentral:rRNA from 1 species